rnacentral:rRNA from 1 species
AUUAAUUAAUUAAUUUUUAUUUAUAAAAUAUUAAAAAUAAUUAUAAAAAUAAAUGUUUUAGUAUUGUUUAAAGAAAUAAUAAUUUUAAUUAUAGUGUAUUAGUAUUGUGAAAGAAAAUUGAAAUAAUUUGAAAAUUUUUUAUUUUAUAAGAAAAUUUAAUUUAUUGUACCUUGUGUAUCAGGGUUUAUUAAAUAAAAAAUAAAUAUUUAUUUUUCUCGAUUUUAAAAGAGUUAAUAAUUUAUUAAAGUUAAUGUGUCAAAAUUAUUUUUAAUAAAUUAUUAGAAAUGAAAUGUUAUUCGUUUUUAAAGGUUUCUAGUUUUUUAAGAAAUAAAUUUAAUUUAGAAAAUUUAUAUUUAUUUAAUUAGUUAUAUUAAUUAAAUAAUGUUUAUUUUUAAUAUUUUAUGGGAUAAGCUGUAAAAUAAAAUUUUAAAAAUAAUAAAUAAUAUAGAUAAAAUGUAUGCUUAGAAUUAGCAAUCAUUGAAAAUUUUGUUAUAAUUUAUUUUAUAUUUUGUAUUAUUUAUUUAGAUUUUAAGUUUUUAUUAAAAAAGUUAUUUUAAUUUUUAAAAUGACGUUAUAAUGAUAAAAUUAGUAUAUUUAUUAUGUAAAUUUAUAUUUUAAUGAAAAGUUUAUAUAAAGAAUUCGGCAAAUUAUAAUAUUCGCCUGUUUAACAAAAACAUGUCUUUUUGAAUUAAUUUUAAAGUCUGACCUGCCCACUGAAUUUUUUUAAAGGCCGCAGUAUUCUAACUGUGCAAAGGUAGCAUAAUCAUUAGUCUUUUAAUUGAAGGCUGGAAUGAAUGGUUGGACGAGAUAUUAACUGUUUCAUAUAAAUUUAGAAUAGAAUUUUAUUUUUUAGUCAAAAAGCUAAAAUUUUUUUAAAAGACGAGAAGACCCUAUAAAUCUUUAUAUUUAAAUUAUUUUAAUUAAUAAGAUUUAUUUUAUUAUAAUUAUUAAAAAUAUUUUAUUGGGGUGAUAUUAAAAUUUAAUAAACUUUUAAUUUAUUAAAUCAUUAAUUUAUGAAUAAUUGAUCCGUUAUUAACGAUUAUAAAUUUAAGUUACUUUAGGGAUAACAGCGUAAUUUUUUUGGAGAGUUCUUAUCGAUAAAAAAGAUUGCGACCUCGAUGUUGGAUUAAGAGAUAGUUUUAGGUGUAGCCGCUUAAAUUUUAAGUCUGUUCGACUUUUAAAUUCUUACAUGAUCUGAGUUCAAACCGGCGUAAGCCAGGUUGGUUUCUAUCUUUAAUAAAAGAAAAUAUUUUAGUACGAAAGGACCAAAUAUUUGAAUAAUUAUAUUUUUAAAUAUGAAUAUUAAUAAUAUUAA